GCGGUGAUUGGUCAGUGCCGACCCUUGACGUCAGCGGGGCCUUCUGGGCGCGCGCGCCGGAGCAACUUUGAAAGUGAGGCGAGCGGCCGUCAUGGAGGCUUGCGGGAACCUGGCGUGCGCCCUGCAGAUCUGGUGCCCACUGGACCUCAGCCAAGAAUGGGUGGAUGGAGUAUGGGAACUGGAGUUCACAGAGACCGAGCCUCUGGAUGCCAGCAUAGAAGCAGAGAUCGUGCAGACUGGCCUGAGCGCGUUCACAGAGCUUUACAGCGCAAUGUUACCUUUUGCUACUGAGAAACGUGAAGCUGCUGAGAGCAUUUGGACCUUCUUCAUGGAGAACAGGAUUUCCCACAACGCGCUGAUGGCCUUGUUUCACCACUUCGUUUAUAAGGUCCUUAAGAAAAAUGUCAGUGCUCAGCAGCAGGAAUUCGGCCUUCACGCCGCCGGGCUGUAUUUCCUGCUGUUGGAAGUACCAGGCAGCGUAGUCAAUCAAGUUUUCCAUCCAGUGAUAUUUGACAAAUGCAUUCAGAUUCUGAAGAAGUGCUGGCCUCAGGAAUCCAGCUUGAAUCAGAAAAGAAAGAAAGAGCAACCAAAGAACCCUCAGGGCAACUCACAGGAGAGCAGUAAGAGAGCAAGACCCCACAGGAGAGAGGAGGUGGAGAUGGAUGAAAUUACUCCAGAAGAGGAGGAUGAAGAGAAUGUUUUUUUUUCUUCUGAAGAUCGUCGUCAAAUUCGAAAUGUCAUCUUUCACGUUUUGAAGAACUUUAUAAGGCUUCUUUCUAAAUUCUCCUUAAAAGAAAAGCCAGAGUGUAUACAGAAUUGUGUAGAGGUCUUUGUUGCAUUAACUAGCUUUGAACCAGUUCAUUACGAAUUCCAGGUUACACAAGCCAGAAUUCUCAGAGAAAUGAAAUACAUACCAGAACUGGCCUAUCAUGGAUUGUAUUUGCUUUGUUCCCCUCUUCACAGAGAAGGAGACAAGGUUCUCAGAUACGUUUUGCAUCAGAUGCUCUAUAUAAUACUGAUGGUAGAAGUGGGUAAAGGCUCCCAUCAUGCCCCGCUUGCCAUCACGCCUCCAGUUGUCAGCAGUAGGAAGCUGGCCAUCCAGUUUGUAAGCUUGCUGGUGGAUGAACUUAAAGAAAGCAUGUAUCCAGUCCUUCGUACUCUACUGCAGCACAUCUGUGUCAAGGUGGUCGAUAAAUCUGAGUACCGGACUUACGCAGCUCAGUCCCUGGUCCAGCUGCUCAACAAGCUUCCCUGUGCAGAAUAUGCUUCUUUCAUGGCCUGGCUUUAUGGACUAACACGAAAUGCCAAGGUCUCCUACCGGGUGUUCACUCUUGAUGUGGCCUUGGCCCUCCUGGAGCUGCCUGAACGAGAGGUGGAUGGCCCGCUGACCCCGGAGCACGAGAAGUUCCUGAAGCAUAAGUUCUUGGUUCAGGAAAUCCUGGUCGCCCGCUGUAAAGACAAGGCCCCGACGGUGCGCAGCAAGGCGCUGUCCAGUUUUGCACACUGCCUGGAGUCCUCUGCCACAGCCCCAUCAGACAGCAUCCAGGAGCUUCUGCAGAACACUCCUGCAGCUCCAGGAGUACAGAGCCACCAACAGAGUCCAUCGACAAAUUCAUCAGCUUUUUCCUAUCAGAGGCAGAUACAUAACCCUUCUGCAGGUUCAGAGGUGAUUCACACAGAUAGCAGUGGUGAAGCAGCUGGAUCUAUGGCAGAAAUGGGCUUCCUGGUGUCCCUGAGGAGUAGGGUCGGUGAUGAGAAGACCAGCGUCAGGAAGUCUGCAGUCCAGGUGCUGGUGAACCUCCUGAAGCACUGCAGCGUCGCGGGUCUGCAGGCGGAGCUGAGCAUUCUGCAGGACCGCUGCCGGGACGUCGCGGUGUCCGUCCGCAAGCAGGCCCUGCAGUCGCUCACCGAGCUGCUGCUGGCCCAGCCGCAGUGUGUGCAGAUACAGAAGGCCUGGCUGGGGGGCGUGGUACCCGCGGUGACGGACGACGAGAGCAGCGUGCAGGACAAGGCCCUGGAGUGCCUGGACCGGCUGCUGCUGCAGAGCAUCCGGCACCACAGCGAGAGGCGCGAGGCGGACGACGGCCAGGCCCUCGCCUGGGCGCUGCUGGCGCUGCUGGACACGGACAGCCGGAAGCUGGGCUGCUAUUUAAACAAGGCUUUUCAUAUCUGGUCCCGGAAAGACAGAUUCUCCCCGACCUUUGUAAACAACGUGCUCUCCCACACGGAAAAGGAGCACUCUGCGCCCGCCUGGAUGCUGCUCGCCAAGGUGGCUGGUGCGUCGCCCACCCUGGACUACUCCACCAUCAUCGAGGCCUGGGAGAGGAUGAGCAGCCAGCAGAACCCCAGUGAGGACACCUUGGGGCACAUCCUGUGUGUCAUCCGGCACAUCGCCAAGCAUCUUCCUCAGAGCACCCGGGACAGGGUGGCAGAUGUUCUCAAGAAAAAGCUGAAUGGAUUCUGCUGGUCGACACUGUUGAUCACUCCAGCUGUUGACACUUUACAAAGCCUGUGCCGAGUAACUGCAGAGACACCAGCGGAGGAGCAGGAGUUACUGGCACAGGCAUCUGGGGACGUGCUUGCCACCUGCGUGCGCCACCUUUCCAACAUCAUCCUGAAGGAGGACGGGCCAGGCCGGAUGAGAGAAGACCUGAUGGUGAAGUAUGUUUUCACCUUAGGAGACAUCGCCCAGCUCUGUCCAGCCCUAGUGGACCAGAGGACCACCCUCCUGAUCCUGUCUAUCCUGGCCGCCUCUCCCAGCAGAGAGCCUCGGCCCCGGGCACCCCCAGGCAGCAGUGCAGCCCCGGCCUCCCAGCCCCUCUCCCAGGUCCAGGGUGUGGUCAUGCCCUCGGUGAUCAGAGCACACGCCGUCAUCACCCUGGGGAAGCUGUGCUUACAACACGAGGAUCUUGCGAAGCAGAGUGUCCCCGUCCUGGUGCGGGAGCUGGAGGUGGGCAUAGACGGGAACGUCCUCAACAACGUCGUCAUCGUCCUGUGUGACCUCUGUGUCCGCUACACGGCCCUGGUGGACAAGUACGUCCCCACCAUCUGCACGUGUCUGAAGGACCCUAACCCAUUCGUCCGGAAGCAGGCGCUGCUCCUGCUCACGGGCCUCCUGCAGGAGGACUUUGUGAGGUGGAAGGGCUGCCUGUUCUUCCGUUUCGUCAUCACAGUCGUGGACCCGAACCCAGAGGUCGCUAGCACUGGGGAGGUCUGCCUGGUGCAUCUGCUCCUGAAGAGGAACCCGACCAUAUUCUACCAGCACUUCAUCGAGUGCAUCUUCCAUUUCACCAGCUAUGAGAAGCACGAAAGUUUCAAUAGGUUCCCCCAGUCGGAGAGAGAGAAGCGGCUCUUCUCCCUGAAGGGGGGUAAGAACAGGGAGAGAAGGAUGAGGAUAUACAAGUUUCUCCUAGAACACUUCACGGACGAGCAGCGGUUCAACAUCACUUCCAGAAUCUUCGAAAAUGUCCUGGCCUGCUUCGCUGAUGGCGACCUGCCCCUAGACAUGGAAGCCAGCGAGCUGCUCUCGGACACGUUUGAAGUGCUCAGCUCGAAGGAGAUCAGGCUGCAGGCGCUCAGAGCCAGGGCAGACAAGGAGCAGCUGGGGGAGGAGGAGGAGCUGGCCCAGGCCAGAGCAGCCCUGCAGGAGUCGCAGAAGAAGCUCCUCUCGCAGGUUCAAAAGAGGAAUUUAAUAGAAAUGAUUAUUCCAAUUAUCACCUCCCUGAAGUCUGCCCUAGAAAAGAACAAGAUCCCAGCUCUGCGAGAACUCAUGCUCUACCUCAGGGAGGUGAUGCAGGAUUAUGGAGAUGAAGUCAAGGACUUCUUCACAGUUGACAAGCAGCUGGCUGCAGAACUCGAGUACGACAUGAGGCGCUACCAGGAGCAGCUGACUGAGCAGCAAGAGCCGGUUCUGAGCUUGGAAACAAUUCCAGCUCCUGCUGGCCGAGAAAAAGACACCGCGGCCGCCACCGCAGACCAGCCGUCCACGCCCCACGCUGCCCACACGGCUGCACCCCUGUCUCUGGUGCCCAAGGACAGGCCCAUGUCGGCGAGCACCAUGGACAUCCUGAGUUCGGUCAAGAAGGUCGUCGAGGCGCGCCGCUGGCACAGUAGCCGGACAGCGGGGCUGCCGCCCUCGGACAGUCGUCCUGAGAGCCCAGCCCCCAUGCGGGUCUUGGAGCUGGAGUCCAGUGGAGCUGACCUGGAGUCCAGUGGAGCUGUUGACCUCGAAACAAAGCGAGGGAUCAGCACCCCUGAGCAGACCAUCCCAAAUGUCACUUUUGGCUCGGAAAUCAGCUACAUCGUGUCACCGGGCCAGUCGCUUCCCCUCCAGAGCAGGAACAGGAGGCGCACCCCAGGAAGCCGGCGGGGCUCGAGAGCCGCCGGCCAGGGGGACAACGUUCUGUGUCUGUCACUGCCCGACAUGCCGCCCCCGCAAACUUCCCAGUGGAACGUGACGUCUCCGUCCAGAAGCGACGACUGUGCCGCCACCAGGAGGUCACGCCGCCAGGCCUCCAAGAAGAGGGCCAAGUGACCACCUCUCCCGGGAGUUCUCACCUGGAGCCCCAGGGCUACCCGCAUGUUCACCUCUGCGGCCCGUCAAUACCUGGUUAAGAACUGUAACACAUCAGGGAAAUGCCUUAGCAACCUCCCUGACCCACGUCACUGCCCUCUCCUCUGUCAGAGCCGGGGCACGGGGCAGAGGCUUUAGGGUCCACGAAGGCCACCUCAUCACGGAGCUGCCCCCAAGACAGAGGGCACCUCUGUCCCCACCGAGCAGAGCCGAGGAGGAAGGAUUGUCUCAGGUCUGCACUUUAGAGUUACAAACUUGGAGAAGACGCUCCCCCGGCACCAUGAGGGGCUGCCCUCCACUGCUGCCAGUUCUCGUGGCAGAGGGCCCACACGCUCAGGAAAGAAAGGUCAGCGUUGUCUCGAGUGUUGAAUUAAAAACCGAAGCAUGAAAGAUGCCGACACUGAACGUAAUGAUGACUCUGUCCUUCCCUGACCCGGAGGCGUGGGAGCAUGCUUCUGUGAAGCCCCUGCUCCGGGCGUGAACGCAGUGGCGUGUCUGAGGCCAGGAGUGCCUGCUUGCAAGGAACAAAGGCCUUUGCAAGGUGUUCCUGACGCCCCUCAAAGCAGGCAGCAUGUCGGGUGACGAGAACUUCAUCAGCGGCAGGAAACUGCCUUGAACUCGGGCUCACACUUUGCCCACUGUCAACUGGGCCACCGCCCAACCCCCUCCUGACGCCGUCGGGGGCAGCCUCCCGGCCCCGCAGAGCAGCCUCCCGCACUGUCUCAUGUCAGAGAGGGGACGGGGGUCACUGUCUUUAAGUAGACAUAAAUGCAGUUGACAGAUUCAAUUUCAGAACUGCUUCUGGCCCUGGACCAUCUCAGGAACCGCAUGAGGAAGUGGAAGGCAUUUUGAGGCCAGAGGGCUGCUGUAUUUUCUGAGUCAGAGCCACAGAGUGCGGACCAGGGAAGCCAGGCUGAGGGGCCGCAUGGAGGACCCUUCCCCUCCCAGCCCCCUGGGCGCUGUCCGAGCAGACCCACGUGGUGUGUGAAUGGCAAUGGCAGGGCUGGUCUGCCCUUGCCUGCGUCAGGCAUCAGGUGGACCGGGGUGGGCGAGCUGGCCUGGGCACUCGGGAGCCCACCACUCCGAGUAGGCCUUAGAAGGUAGCUGGUGACUGCAGGGCCCAGUGAGGGGGUGGGAUGGAGCCUGACACCACCCACUCCGCGCGGCAAGCUCUCAGACUGGAAUGGCUGCGAGGCCUGUGAACCAGAUGCCCCCAGAGCACACAUGUCUCUCCUGCAACCCGCUGGGUUUUGGGGUCCAUCACUUUCCCUGCUGGUGACGCCGAGGUCUCCAGGCUUCCUCACCUCACCUGUCCUGACAUCAUUAACUGUCCAGCUUUCCUGGGUUCUCUUAGCUGAAGCCGAGCAGCGGAGCCGAGUGAGGCCCGACAGGCCCCAGUGGUGCCCGGGGCACGCUGCUCAUGCAGGACAGGCUCAGUGUUCCCCACUCCGAUUGUGCCUGAUGAAGUAGCCCUAUCUGUAGCACAGCGGACGCCCCCUGUGAUGAGGGUCAGGAUGGCCAGGACCGCCAAUGGUGCCGCCAGUGUUGGGGUCAUCUGGAGAAGGGGAGGGGUGAGAAGAUGCUGUCCCCCACCCCCCCAGGCCUGGAGUGGCUCUGCCCAGCGGCCGUGAUGCCCACCCACUGCAGCACCCACCCACGGGCACCGUCGCCGCCGGAACCAUGAAGCACUGCCUGCGCUGACAAGCCUCCGGGCACAUCCGGCAGCUUUCUUACUGGGAAAUGGUUCCCCCACAGAGACAGAGAGAGCUGGGAGCCAGAGUCCCAAAGAAGAAAACCCCUGAAACACCAGGGCUUCUCUUUGCCGCAGAUUAUUUAGUUUCAAGCGGAUUAAAAGGGCAAAUAGGAGGUGAGAACGUGGGCUUCCAGCCCCAGCCGCCCCUCAGGAGACCCUCAGCCACGCUCAUGCUGCAGGGUGGGCGCCGCGCUGCCCCCGGGGGAGACGGAAGUGCUGGGAACCAUGCAGGUGUGUGGCGCCCUGUGCUGGCCAGCCUGGGAGCAGCUGCCGGCCUCCGUCCUGGGGUGCAGGCUUCUUCACUGUGAGCCACUGCUCCUUAAAGGUGCACGUGAAUUCUGAUUUCAUAACUUCAGUUCCCAAGCUCCGUCUCUCGGGUCAGGAACUCCGGGGCACAGCCCAGGAAUCGUCCUCCUGCCCUAGAGCGGCUCCCGGAUCUGACAGCAGCUGGGGAGUCCCACAGGGUCCGACGCCACAGGGUCCGACGCCACAGGGUGGGUGGGCCCUGCACCCGCCCCCACCCUGCCUCAGCCUCCAUUGAGCCCUGACACCCAGAGGAGGAAGCACUCCAACAGUGUAAAUUACUGGGUUUCAGGAUGAGGAGAGAACCCGCGGUCCGUCCUUCAGAGGAUUCCUCCCGCCAGACCUGGUGGACUCCAGCGGGCAGCCUGCACCGAGGGCGCUGAGCUCCAGGGCACCGGGAAGCGUGGUCGUCCAGGGGCGGCUCGGUGGACUCACGCUCACGUGUCCUGUCCUCGCAGCGGGCCCAGCCGGCGGUGUCGGGGGCUGGGCAGCAGUUCCGGCCCAAGUCCUCCUCGUGGACGGCGCUGAACCCCGGCUGGGGGCGGACGGGGACCCGGCGACAGGGCUCCGGUGCUGUCCCGCCUCCCCCAGGGG